GAAAAAUAUGUUGGAAAUUAAACUCAAACCUCUCUUUUUUUCUUUUAGUUGAGCCACGUUGAUGUUGAAUAAGUCCUUACAGAUUAUUAGGAAUUUGUUUUUUCAGUUUAUUGUUAUGCCAAUAAAGUAGGGCUUUAGUAGGUCAAUUAGCUGCAUUUUUUUUUUUUUUUUUGGGAUUUUGAUUCAGUUUGUUGAGCUUGUAAUUGGCUAUAAAUAGUUGACGUUUCUACUGUUUUCUUUUAUCAUCAGUUCAUCAAUAAGAAAUCCUCUUCUUCUCUUUGCUUCUCUCUCUCUCUUUUUUUUUCAGAUCUUGUGUUGGGAUUCUUGGGAGAUUAUUCUGUUUUCCAGCAUUUGGUAUCAGAGCCAGAAAAAAUCCCAAGCCUUUUUUUUUAUGUCGUUCUAGUUUGCUUGUAAGUAGGUUACAACCAUGAACAGGUCAAUCUAGCCUCAACUUCCAAGGUUUAGUGGCAAAAAUUUUGAUCAAUGGUGUAUCCAGAUGAAGGCUUUGUUUGAUUUUCAGGAGUUGAUUGAGGUUAUUUAAGAUGGAUAUACAGAACGAGCUGAUCAAGCUGAUGUAGCAGCUGUUACUCAAGGUCAGAAGGACAGCUUGAGAGAGAACAGGAAGAAGGAUAAAAAGGCUUUAUUUCUCCUUUACCAAUCUAUAGAUGAUGUCAUCUUUGAAAAGAUCUCAAGUGCAACUACAGCUAAAGAGGCAUGGGAGAUGCUGCAAAAUUCCUACAAAGGUGAAGAGUAUAAGGUUGAAACCUUAAGAGCUGAAUUCGAAUCUCUUUCUAUGAAAAAUUCUGAAAUUGUCUCUGAUUAUAUUUCUCGACUUCAAUCGGUUGUUAAUCAAUUGCGGGUUAAUGGUGAAAAAUUAGAUGAAUUGCGUGUUGUUGAAAAAAUUGCAAGGUCCUUAACAUGUCGUUUUGAUUAUGUGGUUACUGCAAUUGAAGAAGGAAGGGGCUUUUCAACCAUGACCGUUGAAGGGCUCCAGAGUUCAUUGUGUUCUGAUACCACUGUUGGGAAUCUACUUAUACAUGCACAGCGAAAUUUAAAAUUAUUUCGAUUCCCACCCAAUAGAUCUCAUUGUGUUUGGUUAGAAAUUGUGAUAAGAUUGUACCUUUUCCAGAUCUGCAAUCCUUUUGCUUUUCUUUUCGUUCCACAACUUUGAUUCGCCACCACAGCUGUCCAAUUGUCCAGCCUCCAACGGUGAUCCACACAGAGAAUAUGAUUGCAGCCUCUAGGGUUUUCUCUUGUGCUAGCAAGAAUAAUGAAAACCCUAAUGGACCUCAAACCCUAGAUAUAUAUUUAUAUAAACCCAAACAGGCUCGGCC
rnacentral:lncRNA from 1 species